rnacentral:tRNA from 1 species
GCAUCGGUGGUUCGGUGGUAGAGUUCUAGCCUUUUAGACAGGAAACCCAGGUUUGAUUCCUAGCCAAUGCA